rnacentral:lncRNA from 1 species
UUUUACUUUUGGAAAAUCGGAGGUUCGCAUUUCUCACUUCAAAUUAUCUUUUCAUUUUUUAUCUGCUACCGGUGCUAUCCAUUAUUAUUUCUGGAGCCAUUUUACAUUCCCACUUUACUGGGUUGUUGAGCUCAGAAAACCAUGAAUGAACAUUUAAUGGAAAUAUGAAUCUAGUCAAAGUUAGGAUAUUCAAUGUAGCUCUUGCCCUUUUAUUUGUAAUUUUCAACCAUGCACUUCUUGAUAUGGUCAUUAUACAUACUAGGUACCUAAGGGCCUAGAGAUGGGAAUAGGAACAAUGACACGGGAAGAGAAAGCGGUAAUCUAUGUUACAAGU